rnacentral:rRNA from 1 species
GACGAACGCUGGCGGCGUGCUUAACACAUGCAAGUCGAACGGAGUGGCGAACGGGUGAGUAACCCGUGGGUAUCUGCCUGGUUGUGGGGGAUAACGCUCGGAAACGGACGCUAAUACCGCAUACUAUCAGAUGAGCCUAGGUUGGAUUUGCCAGUUGGUGAGGUAAUGGCUGACCAAGGCUACGAUCCGUAACUGGUCUGAGAGGAUGAUCAGUCACACUGGAACUGAGCAACGGUCCAGACGCUGCAGGGAGGCAGAAGUGGGGAAUAUUGGACAAAGGGCGAAAGCCUGAUCCAGCCAUGCCGAGUGUGUGAAGAAGGUUUUCGGAUUGUAAAGCACGUUAAGUUGGGAGGCGGUACCGACAGAAUAAGCACCGGCUAACUCUGUGCCAGCAGCCGCGGUAAUUC